GAUGAAGAACGUAGCGAAAUGCGAUAAGUAAUAUGAAUUGCAGAAUUCAGUGAAUCAUCGAAUCUUUGAACGCACAUUGCGCCCGCCAGUAUUCUGGCGGGCAUGCCUGUUCGAGCGUCAUUUCAACCAUCAAGCCCUGCUUGCGUUGGGGUCCUGCGGCUGCCCGCAGGCCCUGAAAACCAGUGGCGGGCUCGCUAGUCACACCGAGCGCAGUAAUACAUCUCGCUUUGGGCGUGCGGCGGGUUCUUGCCGUUAAACACCCCCUUUUUACCAAGGUUGACCUCGGAUCAGGUAGGAAUACCCGCUGAACUUAAGCAUAUCAAUAAGCGGAGGA
rnacentral:misc_RNA from 1 species